rnacentral:tRNA from 1 species
GGGUCUAUAUCUCAGUGGCAGAACAUUUAACUGCAGAUCAAGAGGUCAUUCGUUCAAACCUGACUGGGCUCU